rnacentral:misc_RNA from 1 species
UACGGGGGGUGCAAGCGUUAAUCGGAUUUACUGGGCGUAAAGAGCACGUAGGCGGUUAAUUAAGUUGGAUGUGAAAGCCCAGGGCUUAACCUUGGAACUGCAUACAAAACUGGUUAACUAGAGUAAGGGAGAGGAGAGUGGAAUUUCCGGUGUAGCGGUGAAAUGCACAGAUAUCGGAAGGAACACCAGUGGCGAAGGCGACUCUCUGGCCUAUUACUGACGCUGAGGUGCGAAAGCGUGGGGAGCAAACAGG